GUGAGGAAUCUUCCACAAUGGGCGAAAGUCUGAUGGAGCAACGCCGCGUGAAGGAUGAAGGUCUUCGGAUUGUAAACUUCUUUUAUGAGUGAAGAAUAUGACGGUAACUCAUGAAUAAGCACCGGCUAACUACGUGCCAGCAGCCGCGGUCAUACGUAGGGUGCAAGCAUUAUCCGGAGUGACUGGGCGUAAAGAGUUGCGUAGGCGGUUAUGUAAGCGAAUAGUGAAACCUGGUGGCUCAACCACACAGACUAUUAUUCGAACUGCAUAACUCGAGAAUGGUAGAGGUAACUGGAAUUUCUUGUGUAGGAGUGAAAUCCGUAGAUAUAAGAAGGAACACCAAUGGCGUAGGCAGGUUACUGGGCCAUUUCUGACGCUAAGGCACGAAAGCGUGGGGAGCGAACCGGAUUAGAAACCCCAGUAGUCC
rnacentral:rRNA from 1 species